rnacentral:rRNA from 1 species
GGGAUAGAAUUCCAGGAGUAGCGGUGAAAUGCGUAGAUAUCUGGAGGAAUACCAAAGGCGAAGGCAGUCCCCUGGUCCGAUACUGACACUGAGGUACGAAAGCGCGGGGAGCAAACAGGAUUAGAUACCCUGGUAGUCCACGCCCUAAACGAUGUCGAUUAGCCAUUGGAAGGACCCCUUUUCCUUUCAGUGACGUAGCUAACGCGUUAAAUCGACCGCCUGGGAAGUACGACCGCAAGGUUAAAACUCAAAGGAAUUGACGGGGACCUGAACAAGCGGUGAAUGAUGUGGAUUAAUUCGAUGCUACGCGAAGAACCUUACCUACCUUUGACAUGGCCAAAGUUCUACCGAGAGGCGGAAGUACUCGUAAGAGGAUUGGCGCACAGGUGCUGCAUGGUUGUCGUCAGUUCGUGUCGUGAGAUGUUGGGUUCAGUCCCGCAACGAACGCAACCCUUAUCUUUAAUUGCUCCUAUUUUAACAGGCACUUUAAAGAAACUGCCAAUGAUAAGUUGGAGGAAGGUGGGGAUCACGUCAAGUCCGCAUGGCCUUUAUAGGUAGGGCUUCACACGUCAUACAAUGGUUAGAACAAAGAGCUGCAAAUUCGUAAGAAGGAGCCAAUCUCACAAACCUAACCUCAGUUCGAAUUGCGGUCUGCAACUCGAGCGCAUGAAGCCGGAAUCGCUAGUAAUCGUGGAUCAGAAUGCCACGGUGAAUACGUUCUUAGGUCUU